GUGGUCGUAGCUCAGCCCGGUUAGAGCGCCAGGUUGUGGCCCUGGAGGUCGGGGGUUCAAGUCCCCUCGAUCACC
rnacentral:tRNA from 1 species